rnacentral:ncRNA from 1 species
CAUUUUUAUUUUUAUCUUCAUUUCACGGAAUGAACCGCAAAACUUAGUAUUCCCGCCAGGCUUUAUGCCUGGCGUUUUUUUU